rnacentral:rRNA from 1 species
GUGUCAGCCGCCGCGGUAAUACGUAGGGUGCGAGCGUUGUCCGGAAUUAUUGGGCGUAAAGAGCUUGUAGGCGGUUUGUCGCGUCUGCUGUGAAAUCUCAAGGCUCAACCUUGAGCUUGCAGUGGGUACGGGCAGACUAGAGUGUGGUAGGGGAGACUGGAAUUCCUGGUGUAGCGGUGAAAUGCGCAGAUAUCAGGAGGAACACCGAUGGCGAAGGCAGGUCUCUGGGCCACUACUGACGCUGAGAAGCGAAAGCAUGGGGAGCGAACAGGAUUAGAAACCCUGGUAGUCC